GAGCUUGCUCUUAUGAAGUUAGCGGCGGACGGGUGAGUAACACGUGGGUAACCUGCCCAUAAGACUGGGAUAACUCCGGGAAACCGGGGCUAAUACCGGAUAACAUUUUGAACCGCAUGGUUCGAAAUUGAAAGGCGGCUUCGGCUGUCACUUAUGGAUGGACCCGCGUCGCAUUAGCUAGUUGGUGAGGUAACGGCUCACCAAGGCAACGAUGCGUAGCCGACCUGAGAGGGUGAUCGGCCACACUGGGACUGAGACACGGCCCAGACUCCUACGGGAGGCAGCAGUAGGGAAUCUUCCGCAAUGGACGAAAGUCUGACGGAGCAACGCCGCGUGAGUGAUGAAGGCUUUCGGGUCGUAAAACUCUGUUGUUAGGGAAGAACAAGUGCUAGUUGAAUAAGCUGGCACCUUGACGGUACCUAACCAGAAAGCCACGGCUAACUACGUGCCAGCAGCCGCGGUAAUACGUAGGUGGCAAGCGUUAUCCGGAAUUAUUGGGCGUAAAGCGCGCGCAGGUGGUUUCUUAAGUCUGAUGUGAAA
rnacentral:rRNA from 1 species